rnacentral:rRNA from 2 species
AAACCAACAGGGAUUGCCUUAGUAACGGCGAGUGAAGCGGCAAAAGCUCAAAUUUGAAAUCUGGCACCUUCGGUGUCCGAGUUGUAAUUUGAAGAAGGUAACUUUGGAGUUGGCUCUUGUCUAUGUUCCUUGGAACAGGACGUCACAGAGGGUGAGAAUCCCGUGCGAUGAGAUGCCCAAUUCUAUGUAAAGUGCUUUCGAAGAGUCGAGUUGUUUGGGAAUGCAGCUCUAAGUGGGUGGUAAAUUCCAUCUAAAGCUAAAUAUUGGCGAGAGACCGAUAGCGAACAAGUACAGUGAUGGAAAGAUGAAAAGAACUUUGAAAAGAGAGUGAAAAAGUACGUGAAAUUGUUGAAAGGGAAGGGCUUGAGAUCAGACUUGGUAUUUUGCGAUCCUUUCCUUCUUGGUUGGGUUCCUCGCAGCUUACUGGGCCAGCAUCGGUUUGGAUGGUAGGAUAAUGACUAAGGAAUGUGGCUCUACUUCGGUGGAGUGUUAUAGCCUUGGUUGAUACUGCCUGUCUAGACCGAGGACUGCGUCUUUGACUAGGAUGCUGGCAUAAUGAUCUUAAGCCACCCGU